rnacentral:rRNA from 1 species
UACGUAGGGUGCAAGCGUUGUCCGGAUUUAUUGGGCGUAAAGAGCUCGUAGGCGGUUUGGCAAGUCGGGUGUGAAAACUCCAGGCUCAACCUGGAGAUGCCACCCGAGACUGCUAUGACUGGAGUCUGGUAGGGGAGCACGGAAUUCCUGGUGUAGCGGUGAAAUGCGCAGAUAUCAGGAGGAACACCGGUGGCGAAGGCGGUUCUCUGGGCCGAUAUUGACGCUGAGGAGCGAAAAGCGUGGGGGAGCGAACAGG